CUGGCAGAAAACAUCAGUAGGACUCCUGGAAACAUCAGCAGUACCUCUUACUGAGGGACACGGCUUUCCAGUGGCACUCCACGACAAGCUCAUUGCAAAAUGGAGUCAAAUGCCCUUAACUCCUGGUUGUUGUUAGGGACACAUGACUUAGCUGGGAGGCAUGCCAGCUAUCAGAAGCCCCCAAC
rnacentral:lncRNA from 1 species